rnacentral:pre_miRNA from 1 species
AUCACAUAAGGAUCUUAUUAAAAUACAGAUUCUAUUUCAGUAGGUCUGGGGUGGGACCUAAGAGUCUGCAUUUCUAACAAGUUCCCAAGUGAUGCCAG